UAAUAAUUAGUCUUUUAAUUGAAGGGUGGUAUGAAUGAUUGAACGAGAUAUAUACUGUCUCAAUUAAAAUAGUAUUUAAAUUUAAUUUUUAAGUUAAAAAGCUUAAAUUUUAUUAAAGGACGAGAAGACCCUAUAGAGCUUUAUAAUUUUAAUUUAAUAGAUUUUAAUUUUAUUUUAUUAUUAUAAAAUUAUUUUGUUGGGGCGACAGGAAAAUUUUUUAAACUUUUUUGAUUUCAAAACAUUGAUUUAUGAUUUUUUGAUCCUAUAAUUUAGAUUAUUAGAUUAAGUUACCUUAGGGAUAACAGCGUUAUUUUUUUUUAGAGUUCAUAUUGAUAAGAAAGAUUGC
rnacentral:rRNA from 1 species